ACAUCCUCUCAUCUCUGGUUUGCGCCUUCCUAUCUCCCCAAACAGCACGUCCGCUCAUCUCCCUUCUCCCGAAUUUUUUUUUUUUUUUUUCAUCUUUUAGCCUUCACGUCCCCCCAUCUCCCUUCCUCUCUCCCUCCUCUCCGCUCCCCUCUCCUCCCUCCCUAUCCCUUCCGUCACCCACCACCUCUCAUCCUUCACGACCUUGCCUCCUCGGAGGUCGUACAUCCUCAUGCCUCUUCUCAGGUUUUUUUUUCUACUCUUCCUUAUCCUCUCCCAUUCUUAUCAGAUUUUUCUACUCUCCUUCUCUCUCCCUCUCUAUCUCUUUCUCUCUCUCCCAACAAACCCCUCCUCUCCAUUUUCUCCCUCCUCCUCGGUCCUUCUGCCGCUGGGAACCACCUCCGCUUCUCGCUGCUGCGGACCCUAUCGGGGAAAAGCUCUGUCAGUCCAAUUGGGGCACCACUGCCGCACCCAUCUCCUCCUCCUCUGCCGCCGCCAGGCGACACCUCUAUGAGAGUUAUUGCUGAAUUUGUGUAGGAGAAAGUGAGGGGAUGUGAGCAAUGGCCGCGGCAAUGGCAGCACGGGGCUCCGGCAGUGGAAGGUUGGACAAGGAGGCGAUGGAUGCGGGGAACAGGUGAAGGUUUGAGAGUUCGAAGAAAAGACGAAGGCCUUCUGCUGGUAAUUUGGUUGUUGGUUAAUCUUGCAUCGAUUAAUCCAGACAUUUUCGAAAAUGCCAAUCUUUGGUCUGGUCAAUUAGUGAAGCUUCUAGAACUCAGGCUUGUCCUAUAUACAAGACAAUUAAUAGAACCUGUUACAUACAAGUUUUUGCAGGAAUCCAGCUGGGCUAGCAAGCUAUACUCUGUACAAGUAUGGCAGCAUUACUACGGAUCUGGAGUCCUAUAGAUGUGGUGUACCCAGAACUGCACAUUAGGAGCAAAAAAUUUUCCUGGGGGUGAGUGCCCUGAUACCUUAUUUUAUUUUGUCCAUGAUAAUUUGGAAUGGAUUGUAUAACUUGGCUCUGUGGUAAUUAUUGAUUGGAUAUUGUGAUAGUACACUGUUGAUUUAUAAGGUUUCAUUGUGCAAUUGUUAUCUAAUUAUAGGAAAAACUUUUGUCGCUAAGGGAUGGUUAGCAUACAAGUGUAAUUAUUAUCAAAUAUAGAGAUUAUGUUGUUUGUAAGAAAGAAGGCUUAGAUGAUUCUCUGUUGACAAUGAUACCAAGAUUUGAUUAUGGCGUCUAUUAUUGAAACAAUGGAAGGGCUCCAAUUGUUUUGAAUGUAAAA